CCUACGGGAGGCUGCAGUGGGGAAUAUUGCACAAUGGGGGAAACCCUGAUGCAGCGACGCCGCGUGAGUGAAGAAGUAUCUCGGUACGUAAAGCUCUAUCAGCAGGGAAGUAAAUGACGGUACCUGACUAACAAGCCCCGGCUAACUUGGUUCCAGCAGCCGCGGUAAUACGUAGGGGGCAACCGUUAUCCGGAUUUACUGGGUGUAAAGGGAGCGUAGACGGCAGCACAAGUCUGGAGUGAAAUCCGGGGGCUUAACCCCGGAAUUGCUGUGGAAACUGGGAGGCUGGAGUGCAGGAGGGGUAAGCGGAAUUCCUAGUGUAGCGGUGAAAUGCGUAGAUAUUAGGAGGAACACAGGUGGCGAAGGCGGCUUACUGGACUGUAACUGACGUUGAGGCUCGAAAGUGUGGGGAGCAAACAGGAUUAGAUACCCUUGUAGUC
rnacentral:rRNA from 1 species